rnacentral:lncRNA from 1 species
AGAUUCUCCUCAGCAGAAAUCAUUUACGGUAGUGAAGUUGGAGACAUGGGAGGCUGUUGCCAUAAUCCAAGAAGUGGACCGUGAACAGUGGUGGGAGGAGUGGACAAAGUGAAAACAUAUUAAGAAGGUAGAACCUAUUGCCUCAAUUUUCUGGGCAACUUACCAACCAGUUGGUGGUGUUACUGCACCUGUUUUCCAUGGCACAUGGUUCUGUUUUAUCUUUCUCCACUUCCUCCACUUCUCACUUUAUUCUCUAGUCUUCCCCCAUUGCCCUUCUGUGACUCAUGCCUGGUCUGUUACCCAUGACACCUGAGUCAUGGCUUGACUCUGACCAUCUUCCAGAGUUCAGGACCCUGAAGGCCCUGUGGGAAUAACACAAUCUGACAAAUGAGGGGUCUCAAAUGUAGAUGUCUGACUCAAUCAAAAACAGUAAACCACAAACCAAUCUCUAAUGAGGUACUGACGCUAAAAACCCCAACAGCAGCCAUUCCCACAUUUAAUCCUCCACCGCUGGAGAAGAACACACAAGAUAAACAAGUAACAGAUAAACCUGAGGGAGGGGAGAGAAUCAACAAUUGUAAUUAUUACAAUUCUUAACAAUCUGAUAGAAAUUGAUGCCUUUCACUAAACAAAUUCUAUGGUACCAGAUGACACAGUAGGGAAAAAUUUCAGUCAUCUAAGGAAGAUUAGUGAGUGGUGUGAUGAGGCCUGAGGACAGGAAUAUUGGACCUUAAAAACCUCAAAUCCCUGUGUCUAUCAUCCACAGAUGUUCAGUAACUGCCUGCCAGAGGAAUCGGUGGAAUACUGUUCACUACCAUGGAAAACCACUACCAUGGUUUCUUUUAUUGGAAGGCAGUAGGAAGUGGUGAUUAGAACAAACUGUGGUCAACUCUGCACCAUCCCCAGUUCCUUUGGAACUCUCCCUGGCAUCACAGGGGAGAAGCCUGGGAAUGUGUUUUUCAGAAUUCUUUGCCUGCAGAGGUCCAGAUUAGAUUCCCAGAUUAGACUCUGUCAGGUGAGAUGCACUCCCAUAAAAUUUAGAAACUGAAAGAGAAGAGAAAACACUCUUCUCUGGCAAUUGCUAGGACACUGGCAUUAGCAAGAAAAACACAUGGAAUUUUGCGGGCAGCUUCCAGGCGUCCAUCUCAGAAUCAUACAAUUUGUGCUGGAGAAAGUUGAAGUCACCAAUGUUGACAUUCCUGCAACUCUGGCCAGUCAAGAUUUUCUGAAAAUCAGGAGUGGCCUUCCUAGCCUUUGCUCCCAGAGUCCUUCCCAGAGUUGUAUAAGCCUAUAAUUCCCUGUGGCAAAUCCCUCCCCAGUCAGGGGACCUUAGGGUGGUUUCUGCUUUGCUAGAUGAAUGGAAACUGAUGCAGUGAUUACAAGGCUUGGGUACAGAAAGUGUGGGUGGAAUUGGAUCCAUAAUACUUGAGGGAACUUGUACAAAUUUCUUAAAUCCUUUAAAAAUCAUUUUCCUUGUUUAAAAAUGUAGGAAUAAUAAAAUUACACCUGUCUUUCUUAUGCAGUUUCAUCCAAACCCUUAUCAAGGAUUAAAUGAAUUCAGGCAUGUAAUAAAAGUACUUCACCCAGUGCCUAGGGAAAAUAAGCUUCUAAAAAUAUUAGCUUCUCACUUUAUAUAUAAAAAGAUAUAAUAAUAGCAGCUCAACAAAUAGCUGUUUCUCCCUUGUCCUUGUGGCUGCUUUGUCUUCUCCUUCGAAUAAAGUACAACAGAAGCCACAACUCAGAAUGCGCCACUGGGCAAAGAUAACGAAGGUGUGGUUUCUGCAACCCAAACUUUAAAAGAAUGAGCAAGAACUCUGGACAAUGCCAAUGACCUGUGGCAUGACUGAGACUGGAUGUGAUUACAGUAGAGCUCUAUCUGCUGCAACACAAAGUUUUUGAUGAUGAAAUAGAAGUUUGAGUGGAUGCUGGUUAGAGUACAAGUUGGGAGAGCUCAUACUUCUAAUUAUUGCUUUGUGCUCUGAGAAUCUGCUUCUUGGGGAACUUCCUUUCCUUCUAAUUUUCUGUAGGUAGGCAGUAAAUAUUCCAAAGAAGGAAGUCAGGAGACCAAAUGCAUUUGAAGAUGAUCAAUUAAUUCAAGAGAAGCAGUACCAGAUUGAUCCGACUUUAUCCUUAAGGAAGAAAAGACCUUAAUUGUGAACUCAUUAGAAGCCUCUCUGUGACAUUAACUUAAAGGAAUUACAAAGCUGAAGAGGAGCUGACUAUUUUGGCUCUGUGGUGGAAACUUUAAAUAUUUCAGAGCACUGUAUGUUACGGAGAAGCUUGGUGAAGUGGUCUGUUAGAGCGUGUGCAGAGGGACUUACAUUCCCACUGGGGGUCCCAGGUGAGGCAGUGAAGGAUGCUCUAGUCGUGGUCCUGCCCAGGAAGAAGCAAUUGGUACCGCAGAAUCCCAAUGGCUUCUGCUUAACCAGACUUAAGCAAAGUCAGACUUGGUUGUUUUUCACUGCAAGCAACAUCGCCAAGUCACUAGCUCCAUAAGGAAGGGGAACAAUGUGAAUUACUCCCCAGAGUAGAGCUUUACUAUGGUUCAGGAAAAGGUGACAGGGUGGCCCUCUGGGAAUGAGCUGAAAUGAUGGGCUGUCCUUUGAUUCUCAUGGGGGUUUCCUUACAGGGUACAAAGGCUUUCCUUAUACCCAUGUCAUCCAAGCUUCCUGAAAGCCCACCUUUUUCUUCUUUCUUUCUUUUCACGGAAACUUCCACUUAUUUUCAUUUCCCUAGCCUGUCGUUUCCAGUAGAAUUAAAAAAGCACUUUCAAUUAGCCAACUUAGAGACAGGAGCUGGCUUUCAUUUCUCCUUUCAUCCACUUCAAUUGUAGAAUGCAGGGAGGAUUCUCCCACUCUUUGAGAUGGAGACUCUGAAGACAAUACUUAGCUAAAGAGUGUAACCCCAAACCUAGUGCCCUAGUCACCAAGAUGCUAGUGUCUGGCAGGUCUGGCUCAUUGUCCACACAGAGGAGGCACAGAAAAGCAUCCAGUGAUAUAUGGGUAACUUACACAGGUGGUUCACAAGCUGAGAGACCUGCCCAGAUAACAGGGAGUGAUUCUGAAACUUCACCGCCAGAAAUCCCAGGCCUGGGUACAAAGAGGGACUGAGGAGUUCCCAUUGUGCCUCAGUGGGUAAGAACCCAACUAGUAUCCAUGAGGAUGCGAGUUCGAUCCCUGGUCUCAUUCAGUGGGUUAAGGAUCUGGCAUUGCCGUGAGGAGCCGUGUGCAUUGCAGAUGCAAAUGGGAUCCUAUGUUGCUGUGGCUGUGGGUGUGGCUAGUAACAUAGGUAGGACCGUACUGUGGCACUUCUCAGGGAGGGCAUUGUAUGCCUUACAGGGAAGCACAUUACUCCAAAUGGCUUUGAACUGCAUGGAUUGCUUUGUAAAUUAUCAUGUCAUCAGACUAGAGGUUACAAUAAUAAACUGUUUACAAUAAUGUUUAAAGUCUCAAGUCUAAGUUGAUAAGGACCAUAUCAUCUUUCUACCUCCACCAGACCACUGCACGGUUAGUCUACCCUUGGAGAUACUAAAAUCUUUCAUGUGUGAGGAGCUUUCAAAUUUACAAAGUGCUUUCACAUCAAUUUCUGACUUAAUUCUCACAAAACUCUGUAAGUCUAUCCCCAUUGUCCCCAUUUACAGAGGAGCACAUCGCCGUUCAGAGAGAUGAAGUGCCUUGGCUCAAGGUCAUACAGAAAUAGCAGACUCGACACCGAAGACUAUGUUUUCUGUCUCAGAAUCUAGCGUGCGUGGCUAUUAUGUUGUAACUUAAGGUAGAAUUUCACCUUCAUUUAUUUUCAUUUCUGAGGCAAACGUUCAUCCUGCUGUAUAUCCUACACACUUUCGCAUGUCCUCUUGUCUGGCUGUUAAGUAGGUAAUAACCACCUAAUCAACCUUGAUGACUCGAGUCUUAGAUAAUCCCUUCUGUCUACAGGAGUCACCGUCAUCAUCAAAAUAACUUUGAGAUUACUCUUGACAUUUAUAACCAGGAUUCAGUGAAUCCAUAGUAACAGAUAACUUGUAAGAAAUUGAAAAACAGCUAGUCUAGUGUUACUGUAGACAGAGAACUGGAUUAAGAAAAUGGAAAAUGAGCCCCCGGGUGUGUACAUUUGGGCAAGUCAGUGCCCUUCCCCGAGCUCAGUUUUCGCAUUUGACAUCCAGGGGUAAUGGAUUAGCACUAGAGCAUCCCUAACCUCUCACAAAGUAUGAAUCUGUCCUUUCUAGCUGAGAUCUAAAGGAAAGCUGUGAGUGCGGAGGCAAUGGGAGGCCAGCAGGAAUUAAGAGAAUGAAACAAGCUUCUGUCACCUCUGAUCCACCCUCCUAGGUUUCAGGUCACACAAAGUGAGGGCUGAGGCGAGGGGGAGGGGGAGGUCGGUACUUGGGGAGGUCCGAACUUGGGGAGCUCCUGGAGCCACCAUCAGAGGCCUUCUUGCACAGUCACACCUCAGCUAUGCAGCCAAGGCUUGAGUCUGUAGACACCCAGAAGGGGCUCCAGAAUCCCCAGAAAUGCUCUCUAUUGCCAGUAAGGUCUUCUUUACAAAUCUCCUCAACCACCCGCAUCAUCUAUGCCUUUCUCCUUUGCUUCCAGUUUCUAUGGUUGAAAAAUGUUUGAUGACAGGAGUUCCUGCUGUGGUGCAGUGGGUUAAGGAUCUGGUGUUGCCAUAGCUGUGGCAUAGGUCACAACUGCAGCUCAGACUCAAUCCCUGGCUGGGGAACUUCCAUAUGCCACAGGUGCAGCCAUAAAAAAAAAAAAAAAAAAAGUUUGAUGACCGUCAGUAGUGUAAUAGCCAACAAAGAGAAGCUGUUUGGCCAAGAUUAGGACCCAAACUUUAGGGACAUUCCAGGAAGCCUUUCUUAAGGUUCAGUCACAAUGGAGGAUGUCAUGGUUGAGUCUCGGCACCCACCCUAUCUUCACCAGAUGUUCACCAGCCCUGAGGUCUGGGGGCUUAGAUUCUGCUGCAAGCUCAAGUUCUGAGACACACAAGCCAAGGGUAGGAUUAUGGUGUUUUUCCCAUCCCUCUUGGUUUAGAGAUCUAGGCUUGGGCCAAUCAGCACAAGACAUUUGUCUGCGGGUGGGGAAGGAUUCAUGCAGGAAUUGACUCUUCUGGGCAAUCUCUUGUCUACUGCAUGACUUUGUCCAUUCGAGUCUGGCCAUACCAGCCUCCUUGUUUCUUUUUUUUCUUUCUUGUAUUUUUUUUAUGGCUGCACCCACAACACAUAGAAAUUCCUUUGCCAGGGACUGAAUCUAAGCCACAGCUGCGGUAGCUGCCAGAUCCUUUAACCUACCGCUCCUGGAAUCGAACCUGCACCUCUGCAGCCACCCGAGCUGUUGCAGUCAGAUUCUUAACCCACUGCACCACAGUGGGAACUCCUCCUGUUGUUUCCUGAACAUGAACGUGCCUGGAGGGUCUCUGUAUGUGCUGUUCCCUCCACCUGGAAUGGUUCUCCCCACAUAAUCAAAUGCUAACUUCUUCAUCUCCUUCAAGCCUUUGCUCAGGCAUCACCUUCUCUAUGAGACCUUCUCUGACCACCGUAUUUAAAGUCACAACCAACUCCCUCACCACUCUAUGUUUCUUGGUUUUCCUUCUCCCCCUCCAUUAUAUUUUUGAAACAUUCUAUAUAAUGUAAGUAGUUAUACAUUUAUCGUUGCAGGUUUCUUCUCCCUUGCAGAUAAGCCCCUGGUUCACUGCUUCACCCUGAAUGCUCCCCAUAACACCUGUGUGCUGUGGUCAACACACAGUGCCUUCUCUUCAUUGCACCUUUUUGUGAUUGAUCACAAUCUUGAUCCAUUUUACCUGGGUAGACUUUACCUACCUAAAAUUUUAUGAGGUUCAAAUAUGGAGUAUAAUAAUUACAUCAUCACAAUCAUUGCUCAUCUGAUAGGGACAAUUUUGAGAGUAAACAGAGAAGCUAUUAGUAUUUAUGGCAUGACAAUGAUUUAAACAGACAUUGCCGCGGAUGAACCUAUUUGCUUAGGGUCAUCCUAUUUAUUUGGGCACAUGGUCCAGCCAGCAAAAGUGAGGAACCAGGGACCAAGGCAGGGAAAGAGGGAGAACAAAUGCAAAGAUCUCUGAAUGAGUUGCCUCCUGCUCUGGGAGCCUGGCUGCUGGCCCCAGAAGACAGUCUGCAGGGCCAUAAGCAAUGGGUCUCAGGGUUCCUGUGGGGCCCCUGCUGAGAGCCUCCUAAGAAGCAGCACAUGUGAAUCACUAGGAAGAGGUCAUUGCAGGAGUGAUAGCUCUAAGGGGCAGAUAAAGCCAAGAGAAGAGAAGCGGUGGAUCCCUGGAGCCAACACAGGGCUUUACACGUUGCAGUGUGAGAUGCUGUGCAACCUCUCGCUGGAGGAAACUAUAAAGGACCAAGAAGAUGAGGAGCUUGUCCAAUGUGAUAACUAUAAAUACUUCCAUAGGCUGUUAAUUGAUCUCCAGACUUCCCUUUACAUUCUAUACCAAUUCUUUAACAAACAAAAAAAUAUGCACCUCUCUUGAGUCCAUGCAUGGUUGUUCUGUGUGGUGUGCAGGAAAUAACUUUGCUUUAAAGAGUUUCCUUUGAUAGUUUCUUUCUCCCCAUGGAUAAGAUGGCUUUCUCCUGGAGACAACACCAUAAAACAAAUCUUUCCAUGGCUGAGCUAUUGUGUCCUUUCCUGGUGCUGUAGUCUUUCCACCUCCUUUUCUCUCAUCCACCCUCCCUUUCUCUGCCCUCUUGCAGGCUACACAUGAUGAAGAGAUGAGGCCUGGGGAGUCAUAAAGGGUUAGGGCCCGCAAUGCCUGGGCAAGAGCUAUGAUGAAGCUUUUCCCCGAGGAGCUGAAAUGAAUCCCAAGUCUCCCAUAGCAUUUGGAUUCUCAAGCUUUCAAAAAUGCUACAUCAGCAUGGGCCAGGAACAACACAGAUGAUCUCUAUUUGGUCUAAAUAUAAAAUAAAUUUAAAGAAAUCCAUUGUGAUAAAAUUAAAAUAUGGAACCCCUGGGCAUUCUAAAGGGCUACCUAGAGGUUUGCUAUGGAAAUUCUAUGAGAUAUUGUUCUUUGAGCUUUAGUAUUAUCAUAAAAAUAGUGGGUCCCUGCAAGUGGCUGCUUUUCUCUCUCUGAAAGGACAUAGGUAGAAUUUAGCUGUACAGUUUGGGGGAAAAAACAGAAUUUUAGGGAGGUAGAUGGAUUUGGAGGUGUAUACAAAUUCCAUAAAGAUUUAUUUAUAGGCGAUCUGCAUAUGCCUGAACUUAAGCGCCAGCUGGGGAAAAACAGAACCUCGAUGUGAGAAAAAAAAAAGGCUCACUGGGCCCAGUGAUCAGAGGCUGACACCAAUCCUGAGGCCAUGGACCUCUUGUGUUGGGACCUCAGGCCUCCCCCAGACAGAGUUUGUGAGGGAGACUGCAAGCCAUGCACCAGGACCCAAGACUUGACACAGCAGCCCAGUCAGAAUAUAUGCUCAACUCUUCAGGCAAAAUUCCACAGACCUAUCCCCUUAGGCAAGUCUAGACCUAUUCUGGGCAGGAAAAAAUAUUCAUUCACAGUAACACAUUCUCCCCUUACACGCACACACAACCCUGGAGAUCUGAAGAGAAAACUAUUUAAACAGUACAUUAAGAGGAAAAAUUAGAAACUAUUUCACAAAGAGAAGGAAACAAUUUUAUAGUUGGAACAUAUAAAUUAGGAGGCAUUCUCUCUAAUUUUACAGGGAAGAGGAGUCCCUCUUCACAGACUCCAGAAACUUUUUUUUUCUGCCUUCUUCACCGAGCAAUUCUGUCCUUAAACAAUUUUGCUUCUUUCUCAAACCUAUCUUGCAAACUCGACCCAGCAGUUAUGAGAACUACCCUCUCUCCUAAUGGAGGACAUAUUCAGAGGAAUCCAUAAAAGUACCCUGCUCCUGUUUUUAUUUGUCUCUUCUGUUCUGUAACCUCAGACAUACAGCAGAAUCAUCCUCAAGAAUCAUUUUGCAAUAUUCCUUAUGAAGAAAUUCAAUC